GAUGAGAAGCUUCGACUAAGGUUCGACUCGAGCGAAGCGAGAGAACGUUGCCGCAGGCAACGGCCCGAAGGGCGAGGCGCUUUAGC
rnacentral:sRNA from 1 species